AUAUAUAUCACCCUUUAGAUCUUGAUUUCUUGGUCAUUUCUCAAACCCAAGGUGCAUAGCAUAUUCCCACAUUCCAUUUUGGUAGCAAUAUGCAGCCCGAAUGCAUGCAUUCAUAAUUCCAUUUGGCCAAGUCCACUUGUGUGCUACUGAACUGUCAACUAAAAACAGCUGCUCUGGUAGGUAGGGAGUUAGUAAAGAUUUUUUGUUGUUGUUGUUGUUUUUUGGUUUUUUUCCUCCUUUUUAUCAGUGUUUCCAAAGACACCACCUUGGAUGCUGAUGCAGCACAGCGCUUUCUCAAAGUAACUAUGUCCCUCCCUCUCCCCAACCCCCGGCUCUAUUGGCUAGCCGGGUUUUUCACAUAGAGCACUUGCGCGCACACCUUCCUUUCAAGAAGCCCGUUUUUUCAGUAGAAGCAGGUGUCCAGUUCUAAGCAUCCAAAGGAAUUGCAAUGAGAGCUGCCGCUGUCUAAGGCAGGCUCCCGGGAGAGCAGGCACACGCCUUACUGCCCUGAUCUCUCUGUUGGAAGGUGCACGGUGGUUCUGUUGUCCAAGCCGCUCCGAUUUCCCCCGUACCUUCUUUUAUACACGCAGACACUUGUGGGUCUAGAUCUGGAACUGUGUACUUCAACUGCAGCGCUUUUCCUCGGACAUUUAAUUGAGGAGAACGGUGGAGUUUGUAGCCUUGCCUGCCAGAUGUUGAAGGUUCACCUGUUUCGUGCUGGAUCCCUUCCCCCUUGCGGUGAUGGCAGUAGGGAAGGAAGCCUGCAGUAAGCUAUCGUUUGCAAGGAUCCAGCCUCACGCGAAAUGCCGAUUUUUUUUUUUUUAGAGGAUAAACUCAAAUGGAUUUGACUUAUUUUUUUCCCAGAUGGGAACAGCUGCUUGUAGCCUCAUUCCACCCGUCUCCUGUGAGCACCAUUCUUUUGACCUCCUUCCCCUUCUUCAAGCCAGAACAGCCUGUAAAUACAACUACUCCCACCUAGUCUUCAAGGGAAACAUGGAACUGCUUUGAAACCGGGUGCCCUUUUUUUUUCUUUUUAAGUUUGGUUCCUUUAGAAAUGCUAGCAGACGUCUCCAAGUACCACUGCCACUUUCUGCGCCCCCGCCCCUGUUCUGAUCACUCGACUUCAAAGUGUCAGCUGGAUGGGACUCGCUAGGCCUGCUCCAGCAGAGCCGUGUUUUUGAUACGUAUCCUCAUAGUCUGGAUGAACCUCCAAGUAUGGAAGUUUCUAAGUCACCUGCUGCAACCAUUUGGGGAUCUGGCUCCUUUGGCUUUAGAUCUAGUAGCUUACCACCUUGGUGUGUCUUCUCCUCUGUACAAAAUAUCACAGCUGCCAUUGAUCAACAGAUCUCGCGCUCCCGCCUUGAGAAGGUCCAUACAUUUGCCAGCAAGGCUCAUCUUUAAACCUUCAUCAGAAAUGGGUUUUAGCUCAUCUGGAGGCUUCUGAGUAUUGUAUUUUUUUCACUAGACCUUCCAUUGUGACAACUCUAUACUGUGGGAGGAGGGGACCCAAAGGAGGGAAUAUUGGAAGAAGUGAAUCUUUCACAGAGUGAAUCCUGGAUGCAGAUCGGGAGCGUUUCCCCAGCUCUGCUUUUCUUGUCUGGUAACACGUGCUCGCGAUCAGGAAAGCAGCGAGUCACGUGUGGCUCCUUGUGCUUCAGACGUCCCAGUUGGCCAAGUAGGUUGAAGGGAGCGGAAGCAACUGUGCAGUUCAUGUGCCACCUCGCACAACCCACCUUCACCCCACAUGCAAGGCAGAGAGAACGGAGCUCCGUGCCCUGCCUUUCUCUCCAUCCCUCCUUCUGCAGCAUGGAUGAGAAAUGCUGGAAGCUGUGCUGCACUUGGCUUGCCCUGGCUUCUGCUUUGCAGGUAGAUGCAUCGCAGCAUUUUGAUGCAUCAGUGCUAGCUCUGAUUAGCAAAGACCCUACCACGUCAGAGCUGUUUCACAUCACGCAGGGGGCACUGGGGUUGCGGGGGUUGCUGGUUUCUUAUCUCCCCCCUCCCCCCCGUUUAUAUAUCUAUCUUAUCUAUUUUUUUGCUUCCUUUUUGCCCAUCUUGAGUUCUGCUGGCACUUUAGCAGGCGUGCGUGUGGCAUGAGAAAUGGCCAUUAUUUUACUGACUGUAUUUGGUACAUAUUGUGUGAUACUUGAAGAGAUCCAGGGUGUUGAGCCCUCCAUUUGGAGUCUAAGCUUUUUGGGUUCGUUCUUUUCUUUUUUUCUUUUUCUUUUUUUUUUCCAACCCCCUCCUCCCCCUUUUUCUUGCAUUGUGAUGAUGUAGUGGGCAUGCCUGUCACCAUGACAAAUGCCUCUUCUAUAACUUUUCUCAAAUAGUUGUGUAUAAUUAAAGAACUGUAAACUUUUUUUAAAUAAAAUAUGUAUAUACCUUG